CCUACGGGCGGCUGCAGUGGGGAAUAUUGGACAAUGGGCGAAAGCCUGAUCCAGCCAUGCCGCGUGUGUGAAGAAGGCCUUCGGGUUGUAAAGCACUUUCAGUGGGGAAGAAAGCCUUGGGGCUAAUACCCUCGAGGAAGGACAUCACCCACAGAAGAAGCACCGGCUAACUCCGUGCCAGCAGCCGCGGUAAUACGGAGGGUGCGAGCGUUAAUCGGAAUUACUGGGCGUAAAGCGCGCGUAGGCGGUCUGAUAAGCCGGUUGUGAAAGCCCCGGGCUCAACCUGGGAACGGCAUCCGGAACUGUCAGGCUAGAGUGCAGGAGAGGAAGGUAGAAUUCCCGGUGUAGCGGUGAAAUGCGUAGAGAUCGGGAGGAAUACCAGUGGCGAAGGCGGCCUUCUGGACUGACACUGACGCUGAGGUGCGAAAGCGUGGGUAGCAAACAGGAUUAGAUACCCUGUAUC
rnacentral:rRNA from 1 species